rnacentral:rRNA from 1 species
GGACGAACGCUGGCGGCGUGCUUAACACAUGCAAGUCGAACGGAAAGGCCUCUUUCGGGGGGUACUCGAGUGGCGAACGGGUGAGUAACACGUGAGUAACCUGCCCUUGACUUUGGGAUAACUUCAGGAAACUGGGGCUAAUACCGGAUAGGAGCUCCUGCUGCAUGGUGGGGGUUGGAAAGUUUCGGCGGUUGGGGAUGGACUCGCGGCUUAUCAGCUUGUUGGUGGGGUAGUGGCUUACCAAGGCUUUGACGGGUAGCCGGCCUGAGAGGGUGACCGGCCACAUUGGGACUGAGAUACGGCCCAGACUCCUACGGGAGGCAGCAGUGGGGAAUAUUGCACAAUGGGUGGAAGCCUGAUGCAGCAACGCCGUGUGCGGGAUGACGGCCUUCGGGUUGUAAACCGCUUUCGCUCAUGACGAAGCUUUGUGUGACGGUAGUGGGUAAAGAAGCACCGGCUAACUACGUG